GGGUGCUAAGGCAAGUUUCAUUUCAGCUUGUUCUGAGAAGUUCAAGGUCACCUGUGCCAAACCAGUGGGCUUUAGUUCUCCAUCUUUGAGGAGGGCUCAGCACAAAUCCAGCCUCAUUCCCAAUAAUAAAAUCCCCAGUGGCAGCAGGACCACGCUGGUUUGGAAGUGUAUGUGGUGGUAUACGGGCCGACAGCAUGAGGACUCUCCUGCUUGUCCCAGUCACAUACAGGCUGGUGCCUGCUCUGCCUUGGCUCAGUUUGAGUGAGCAGAGGGGCUUGUCAAACAGGAAGAUUUGGGCACUAGGUAGUGACUACUUUGAACACAAAUGUUACUUGUGCAUACAAUAUGAAAACUACUGAUUUAAAGCAUGGGUGCAGUGGCCUCAAGCCCAUAGGUUGGGUAAAACUGGUAGGCAUAUACAGCUGAAGUUGCUUUUGCUCUCUUUGGAUUUAUAUUUCCUGUAUAAUCAGGUUGUAUUACCUAUGUGUAUAACUGUUCAUUACCUAGUCCUUCUUAGCAGCAUCACAGAACCUAUGGUUGUAAAUAGCUGGUAAGCACCUUCAAAAAAGAACUGAACCUGUUCCAAUGCACACCCUCCAGCUUUGCCUAGGAAUAAAGAUUCCCUGCCUCCUGGAGGAGAUGGGGGAGUCUGUCUUCCUUUUAAACUCAUAGGCAAAGAUAUUGAAAAAUGCCACAUGAUUUUGGAAACCACAGUGGUUGAAGAUCACUGUAGAGGCACUGUUAAACUAUUUCGCAAGCCAAGAAAAAAGACCUCUGAUCCUGGGCAGCAGGUACAAAAGAGAAGACAGAAGGAGACAGCCAGUGCUUUGGCAAGCCGGGAACCCAUAUGCAAGGCAAAGAGAGUAAGAAAAGGAGCAGAGAUGCUGGCACAUGCAAGUUCAUUUAAUUGCCCUGGUACAUUCAAUUUAUACCCAGACCUUUGACCACAUUUGUAAUCUAGGUUGGUUUGUUGCACGCUGUCAUUGCACAGCUGUUAUUGCAUGGGGGUUGGUUUUAAGCUUUCUUCUUUCUAACAUUUGUAAUGCUCUGUCUUGACUUUUGAAUGGUCAGGAAGAUUUGGACUACUUGUCUGGGCUUUUUCCUUGAUAGGGAGGAAGAGUGGAGUCUAUUUUCAAAAUCUCAUAAGUUAUUUACACCCUUGGACAGGAUUUGGAUGGCAAAGCUGACGCUAAUAGCAGGUGCAGAUCUAUUUUGAGAGCUACAGCAAGAUCAGCACUGUCUCUCAGCAUCUCCAGCCAACAUCAGUUGAUUCUCUGCCCAAAGCAUCCCAUGACACUGCGAUUCAGAGUCCUAACUCUUCUGCAGCACAAAACGGGGCCCCACUGCAGAGAACAUGAGCUUGGCACGCCACUUGGAAAUGAUUUCUCUCCCAUGUAUCCAGCCACCUGGCUCGGCUGUCGAUGAAACUUGGCAAUAAAUUCCUUGACAUCCCGUUAUAAUUUUAUGAGCUGGUUGAGACUGUCAUAUUCCAUUAGCUCCUGACAAGCCUCCAUGCAGGGAGGAGCACAAGCCUGUGUCUGUUGGUCACCUAUGUGAAAUGCUGGAGAUAAGCAGGUUUCCCCACUGCAGUGUCUAGCUGACUGCAGAUACAAUAAUCACUUCACUCAGCACCGCACAGGAACCACCCUUGGCAAGGCCAUGGCGGCUGUCAAGCAGCACAUCAGGAAUUGCUGCUCCAGUUCAACACAUCAUGAGGGCAUUUGUGCAGCAGGAGGAGCCAGUUAACUGAUCUGGAACUAGCAUCAAAGUGUUAACAAGCCCCAGCAGAGUUGCUGAAGUUACCUCCAAGUGACAUAUUCAAGCACUGGAAAGCUCCACAAAGUUUGUGCGAGAGCAAAGGAAGCAUGAGGAAGGAGAGGGCCAGGCCUCUCCACCCCAAAGUGAGAGCACUGCAAAAACAAAACCUGGCACCCAGGCUGCGGCUGACUGAAAGCAUCUUUCAUUUGUGCAUUAAAGCCAACGAAUCCCUGGCCUCAUCUCUCCCAGCUUACCCUCGGCAUCAGCCGGCGUGCCAGAAAAGUAUGGGCCAUAGGAAAAUAAACUGUGUAUGUAUGAAUAACUCUGAUCUACCAGAAGCUAAUACCAAUUAAAACGUCUCACUUGUAUCUGA